CCCAGGCAAUCUCAUCGUCGAUGGUCAUCAGCUUGCUGUGGAUCACGCGGGCAAACGGAAUGAAGCCGCUGCUAGCCGGUGGUAUGGUCACCACUUUGAUCUGCACGUUCGGCACCAGCGCCAGGCUCUUCAGCCAGGCGAUAUCCGGCUUUUUGGUGUUCCAGUUGGCCACCAUCAGCUCGAUCUGCACCCCGCGCGCCGCCGCGCUGCGCAGCGCGUUGUCGAUCUCCGCGUAGAAGGGGCGGCUGCGUUCGGGGCCGAACGACAGCGGCGCGUAGUCCAUCACCUGCACCCGCACCCGCCGCUUGGCGCCGGCCAGCAAGCGCGGCAGCUCGGCCUGCGAGUCAAUCACCCCCGCCGGGUUGUAGGCGCGCGGGCUGGCCACCAGAUAGUUGCCUUGCGUCGGCGCCGUCGUCGGCGAAUCGGGCAGCGGCGGCACCGGCUUAUCCUGCGCCAGCAGCGCCUGCGCCUGCCAAUCCUGCUCGAAGAUCGCCUGGAUCUGCCCCACCACCUUGGCGUCGCUGAUGCGCAGCCCGGUUUCGUGAAUAUGCUCCAGCGCGCGCCAGUCGAAGUUCUGACUGCCGACGAAUGCCUGUUCGCCGUCCACCAGCAGAUACUUGGCGUGCAGAAUGCCGCCGCUCAGCUUCUGGUAAGGAAUAAUGCGCAGCUCCAGAUUGGGGAUCGCCUUCAGCUGUUCCAGCGUCUCGGCGGUAGAAAUGCGAAUGCCCUUAUCUUCCACCAAAAAGCGGAUUUUCACCCCGCGUUCGCCGGCCGCCUUCAGGUGCUGCAGCACGCCAUCCAGCAGCGAACCGUCCUGAUUCGCCACGUAGAACUGCCCCAAAUCGAUGCGGGUUUUCGCCGCGUCGAACAUCUCGCGCCACACCUCGGCGGUGUUGCGCAGGUCGUCGGCCUGCAGCGCGGUUUCCACCGGUGCGGUGUACACCAGCUCAUAGCCGGGAAUCGCAAAACGCGCCGCAGCGCUCUGGCUCAACAUCAACAAACAACCGCCCCACAAUGCCGUAUAAAGGCGGCCGAGCGGCCGCCGUACUGGAUGGCCAUUAGGCAUAGCGCGGCGCUCCGCUGUCAACCCAUUGUUCGCCGCUGCCGCUCUCAGGGCGGCUGGCCGGUUGGCCGGCGCGGAUCAGCAGCACCUUCAGCAGUUCGUUGAUGCGCUCCAUGCGGCUCUGCAGGAAGUUGUUGGCCACCAGGCACAGCAGCGCGAUGGCGAUGCCGAGGCCGGUGGCGUACAGCGCGGUGCCCAUCCCGGCCGACACCAGGCUCGGCUCGGACACCCCCGAGGCGGCCAGCGCCUUGAAGGUUUCGAUGAUCCCCAUCACCGUGCCCAGCAAGGCGUGAUGGGGAAGGUUCUACGGAACCGAAGUACUUGAUUCCAUGCUUCCAAGAAAAGCAUCUAGAGAGAGAUGUAGUGCCCGUACCGCAAACCGACACAGGUAGAUGAGGAGAGAAUCCUAAGGCCGGCGGAAGAAUCACAGUUAAGGAACUAGGCAAAUUGACCCCGUAACUUAGGGAGAAGGGGUGCCUGCGAGAGCAGGCCGCAGAGAAUAGGCCCAAGCAACUGUUUAGCAAAAACACAGGUCUCUGCUAAAGCGUAAGCUGAUGUAUAGGGGCUGACGCCUGCCCGGUGCUGGAAGGUUAAGGGGAACACUUAGCGCAAGCGAAGGUGUGAACUUAAGCCCCAGUAAACGGCGGCCGUAACUAUAACGGUCCUAAGGUAGCGAAAUUCCUUGUCAGGUAAGUUCUGACCCGCACGAAUGGCGUAAUGACUUGGGCACUGUCUCAACUGUGAAUCCGGCGAAGUUGUAGUGCGAGUGAAGAUGCUCGCUACCCGCGAUUGGACGGAAAGACCCCGUAGAGCUUUACUGUAGCUUAGCAUUGAAUUUCGGUAUUGUCUGUACAGGAUAGGUGGGAGACUGGGAAAUCAGGGCGUCAGCCUUGAUGGAGUCGUUGUUGGGAUACCACCCUGAUAGUAUUGAAAUUCUAACUGGAUGCCAUGAAACUGGUGACAGGACAUUGUUAGGUGGGCAGUUUGACUGGGGCGGUCGCCUCCUAAAAAGUAACGGAGGCGCCCAAAGGUUCCCUCAGAACGGUCGGAAAUCGUUCGAAGAGUGUAAAGGCAGAAGGGAGCCUGACUGCGAGACCUACAAGUCGAGCAGGGACGAAAGUCGGGCUUAGUGAUCCGGUGGUACCUCGUGGGAGGGCCAUCGCUCAACGGAUAAAAGCUACCUCGGGGAUAACAGGCUGAUCUCCCCCAAGAGUCCACAUCGACGGGGAGGUUUGGCACCUCGAUGUCGGCUCGUCGCAUCCUGGGGCUGAAGUAGGUCCCAAGGGUUGGGCUGUUCGCCCAUUAAAGCGGCACGCGAGCUGGGUUCAGAACGUCGUGAGACAGUUCGGUCCCUAUCCGUCGCGGGCGUAGGAAAUUUGAGAGGAGCUGUCCUUAGUACGAGAGGACCGGGAUGGACUGACCUAUGGUGUACCAGUUGUUUCGCCAGAAGCAUUGCUGGGUAGCUAAGUCGGGAAGGGAUAAACGCUGAAAGCAUCUAAGUGUGAAGCCCACCUCAAGAUGAGAUUUCCCAUAGCAUAAGCUAGUAAGACCCCUUGAAGAACACGAGGUUGAUAGGUCAGAGGUGUAAGUGCAGUAAUGUAUGUAGCUGACUGAUACUAAUAGGUCGAGGGCUUGACCA
rnacentral:rRNA from 1 species